UCUCAGGGUUGGUCUGAUUUUCUUUAAUAUCCUUUGUCUUCACAUUUCAGGCAUUGAUCCACAUUUUUGCAGAUUCUCCAUGGUUUCUGAGAAGUUCCAGGUGCACUGUGGAGAAGACAUUGCUUCUUUGGGAGAAAGGACAGAGAAAUGGAAACUUGGAUAGGUCGGUGGACAGGACGUGGGAUGAGAUAACCAAGAUAAUCUGACAAUGACUGCUAAAUCAUAAUGGAUGAAAAAUAUAGGCAUGCAAGACACUCUAUCAAAAAAAAAAAAAGACCUAAAUGAAAGAUCUCUGCGAGUGAGAUCCCAGUGGAAAGAACAGGUCAUCAAAGAAGGAGGUACCUUUCUCUGAAGGGAGGAGAGAACUUCCACUUUGACCAUGACCUUGUCUGAAUAAUAUCGGAGCUGGUGAACUCAAAAGGCUUCCAUAGCCUUGGCAACUCAUGACAAGAGCCUAGGGUGAUUACUGAUGCCAUAAACAAGAGUGUCAAUUUGUAAAGUCAACAACAGGAGUCACUGUGCACUUACUCCUUAUGUAGGAUCUCUGUCCUUAAUGUGCUGUACAUUGUGAUUUAAUGCUAUAACUAGUACUCAAACAGUAUGUUUCACUUUGUGUUUCUAUA